GGAGGAUAUCGGGACAUUGUAUGCCGAACCUGCCAGCAAGUAGGCCAUAUGAGUCGAGAUUGCAUGGCACUGAUGAUCUGUCACAACUGCGGGGGAAGAGGACACCAAGCAUAUGAGUGUCCCUCUGGAAGGUUUAUGGACCGUUUUCCGAGGAGGUACUGACGGAUGAAAGCCAUGCCAUAUUAAUAGGGUGACUACUGAUGACAUGUGCCCCUUUUCUCUUUGAAUUGAGAUUGACAUUUGUUUUUUCUUUUUCUUUUAGAAGCUAUCAGAUUUCGGAACUAGUUGCUUUAGUGUGCGUCUUUACAUCUUUUGAAUGGAUAUGAUGAGACUGUUAUUUAAGAACAUGGAUUAAU
rnacentral:misc_RNA from 1 species